UACGUAGGGGGCAAGCGUUAUCCGGAUUUACUGGGUGUAAAGGGAGCGUAGACGGCGAUGCAAGUCUGAAGUGAAAGCCCGGGGCCCAACCCCGGGACUGCUUUGGAAACUGUAUGGCUGGAGUGCUGGAGAGGCAAGCGGAAUUCCUAGUGUAGCGGUGAAAUGCGUAGAUAUUAGGAAGAACACCAGUGGCGAAGGCGGCUUGCUGGACAGUAACUGACGCUGAGGCUCGAAAGCGUGGGGAGCAAACAGG
rnacentral:rRNA from 1 species